UACAGAGGUGGCAAGCGUUGUUCGGAAUUACUGGGCGUAAAGGGCGCGUAGGCGGCCAUCUAAGUCAGACGUGAAAUCCCCCGGCUUAACCUGGGAACUGCGUCUGAUACUGGUUGGCUUGAAUCCGGGAGAGGGAUGCGGAAUUCCAGGUGUAGCGGUGAAAUGCGUAGAUAUCUGGAGGAAUACCGGUGGCGAAGGCGGCAUCCUGGACCGACAUUGACGCUGAUGAGCGAAAGCCAGGGGAGCAAACGGG
rnacentral:rRNA from 1 species